rnacentral:rRNA from 1 species
AAAAGCCCGCUCGCCGGAAGACCAAGGGUUCCUGUCCAACGUUAAUCGGGGCAGGGUGAGUCGACCCCUAAGGCGAGGCCGAAAGGCGUAGUCGAUGGGAAACAGGUUAAUAUUCCUGUACUUGGUGUUACUGCGAAGGGGGGACGGAGAAGGCUAUGUUGGCCGGGCGACGGUUGUCCCGGUUUAAGCGUGUAGGCUGGUUUUCCAGGCAAAUCCGGAAAAUCAAGGCUGAGGCGUGAUGACGAGGCACUACGGUGCUGAAGCAACAAAUGCCCUGCUUCCAGGAAAAGCCUCUAAGCAUCAGGUAACAUCAAAUCGUACCCCAAACCGACACAGGUGGUCAGGUAGAGAAUACCAAGGCGCUUGAGAGAACUCGGGUGAAGGAACUAGGCAAAAUGGUGCCGUAACUUCGGGAGAAGGCACGCUGAUAUGUAGGUGAAGUCCCUCGCGGAUGGAGCUGAAAUCAGUCGAAGAUACCAGCUGGCUGCAACUGUUUAUUAAAAACACAGCACUGUGCAAACACGAAAGUGGACGUAUACGGUGUGACGCCUGCCCGGUGCCGGAAGGUUAAUUGAUGGGGUCAGCGCAAGCGAAGCUCUUGAUCGAAGCCCCGGUAAACGGCGGCCGUAACUAUAACGGUCCUAAGGUAGCGAAAUUCCUUGUCGGGUAAGUUCCGACCUGCACGAAUGGCGUAAUGAUGGCCAGGCUGUCUCCACCCGAGACUCAGUGAAAUUGAACUCGCUGUGAAGAUGCAGUGUACCCGCGGCAAGACGGAAAGACCCCGUGAACCUUUACUAUAGCUUGACACUGAACAUUGAGCCUUGAUGUGUAGGAUAGGUGGGAGGCUUAGAAGUGUGGACGCCAGUCUGCAUGGAGCCGACCUUGAAAUACCACCCUUUAAUGUUUGAUGUUCUAACGUUGACCCGUAAUCCGGGUUGCGGACAGUGUCUGGUGGGUAGUUUGACUGGGGCGGUCUCCUCCUAAAGAGUAACGGAGGAGCACGAAGGUUGGCUAAUCCUGGUCGGACAUCAGGAGGUUAGUGCAAUGGCAUAAGCCAGCUUGACUGCGAGCGUGACGGCGCGAGCAGGUGCGAAAGCAGGUCAUAGUGAUCCGGUGGUUCUGAAUGGAAGGGCCAUCGCUCAACGGAUAAAAGGUACUCCGGGGAUAACAGGCUGAUACCGCCCAAGAGUUCAUAUCGACGGCGGUGUUUGGCACCUCGAUGUCGGCUCAUCACAUCCUGGGGCUGAAGUAGGUCCCAAGGGUAUGGCUGUUCGCCAUUUAAAGUGGUACGCGAGCUGGGUUUAGAACGUCGUGAGACAGUUCGGUCCCUAUCUGCCGUGGGCGCUGGAGAACUGAGGGGGGCUGCUCCUAGUACGAGAGGACCGGAGUGGACGCAUCACUGGUGUUCGGGUUGUCAUGCCAAUGGCACUGCCCGGUAGCUAAAUGCGGAAGAGAUAAGUGCUGAAAGCAUCUAAGCACGAAACUUGCCCCGAGAUGAGUUCUCCCUGACCCUUUAAGGGUCCUGAAGGAACGUUGAAGACGACGACGUUGAUAGGCCGGGUGUGUAAGCGCAGCGAUGCGUUGAGCUAACCGGUACUAAUGAACCGUGAGGCUUAACCUUACAACGCCGAAGCUGUU